rnacentral:rRNA from 1 species
UACAGAGGUCCCCAAGCGUUGUUUCGGAUUCACUGGGCGUAAAGGGGUGCGUAGGGUGGUUGGGUAAGUCUGAUGUGAAAUCUCCGGGCUCAACCCGGAAAUGGCAUUGGAUACUAUUCGGCUAGAGGUUUUGGAGGGGGGGACUGGAAUUCUCGGUGUAGCAGUGAAAUCGUAGAUAUCGAGAGGAACACCAGUGGCGAAGGCGAGUCCCUG